UACAGGAAACUUUGUAAGCUGAGAGA
rnacentral:piRNA from 1 species